AAUCCAGAAGUUUUAUCAAUUUGCUAGAUGUUCUAAAAUAAGUUAUACUCAUUUGGCUAUCUGCUAUAAGAACUUAAUAGAUAUUUUAGUGUACAGUCUUUAUCUCUCAUAAUGUGGAGAUUUCUGAGGAUAUUUUGUUCUUCCUGAAGAUGUUGGUCCUAUCCUGGCUUGCCAAUAGCAGCAGAAGAAAUUAUCUCUCUUCUAUCUACUGGAAAAGUCAUUUUAGUCUUUUCUCAGUACUCAAUUUCUUUGAUUUCUCUUUAGCAUUUGACAAUUUAAACUACAUUCUCCUUCUGAAAAUUCUUUCUCCUUAGCUUCCACCAUUUAUUCUUCCCGGGUUCUUUUACUACCUGUCUGAUUAAUCCUUUUCUAUUUCCUUUAUGGUUCAUUGUCCUGUCUCUUUCAUUGCAUGUAUAUCCCGCAAGCCUUUGUCUUUGGCUCUUUUCUCAGUACAUUUUAUUCCUUUGACAAUUUCAUCUAUCCACAUAGUUUCAACUUUUCUAUGCAAAUAGAACUUUAUGUGUCCAGUCUUCUUUAUAUCUUUAUUGUAUGUUCCAUCAGAAUUUUAGAAUGAAUGUGUCUAAGAUGGAAAUCAUCUCCUUUUUCCUUCCAACUUCCUAUUUUGAGCUCUAAGUCUCUCUCCUUUUUUCAAGGAAUUUGGUAUCUGUCUCAGUUUUCCUUUCCACUCUAUCCUCAACUUUCAUCAUUAGGGGCUUUAAUAUUCCUCUUGGCAUUCCUUUUAACAUUAUGGCUUUCCAUUCCAUCAAUUUCCAUAACUUCUAAAUGCAUUCUACUCCAGCCGAUCACAACUUAAAUGAUCUACUAUCUCAAAAUAUCUGUCCUCAUAAUCUUGAGCUUUCAAAUUCUAUUUUCUGAGGUGAAGCCAGGAUGGGAAAGUUGUACAGUAAGUUAGAUUUCCAAGCUCCCCAAAAACUUCCUAACAUUUAGAAAAUGUACCAGACUACAUCCUGGUGUGAAAACUCAAGAAAAAGUCGCAAUUAUUUUUCCAACUCAUGUCAGCAUAGAGAUAAAGAGCUAUAUGGAUACUGGGGAGGAGUGGAGGGUACUCAGGAGAGACUAGUCAUUAGGGCAAGAAGAAGUCUCAGACUCAUCAUGGGAUUGCAUAAAGGAUUUCUCUUAUGUUAGGUGCUAACUGGAACUUUCUUACUCUCUACGCAGGUCUGGAUCACCAGGAUAAACUGAGGAGGGGUUCUAUGUCCUGAAGUGACCUUCUGGGGAGGGAAUGAUCUUAUAUUGUAUACCGAGAGAGAAGGAAUUUCAGAAGUAAGUAGCAUCAGCAAGGCUUGGACCUCGGGAGCAGAGCAAGAUCUCAGUGUCAGCUUUUCCCCAAUCUGAAGCCUUCGAAGGAAUAAUCAGGGCAGGAAUUCCAGGCAGAAGGGGACCCAGGGCUUUCUACCUGGUUGAAAGAGGCUGAAUCCAGUAGACCAAAGUCUGAGACCUACCAUGAUGACAGAAGACGAAUGAUGAAACAUGCUAUCCAUAUUCUGAUACAAUUGAAAAAUUCAGGAUCUUCCUUUGUGAUGUAUGCACUACUUUCAGCACCCUAAGGAAUUGACAAAGUUCACUGGACUGUAGGAGAAAUUUUUACUUUGCUAAAAAUAGGAGAAAAAGUGAAAAAGAUUGCAGGAAUUUUAGGAAAGAAAUUUAUAAGCUGGUGAGAAAGCAGAAGAAAUCAACCAGGAUGGUGAACGACCUAAACUCAUGCCAUGUGAAAAUAGCUUGAAGGAAUGGAAUAUAUUUCAGCCUGGAAAAAUGAAGACCUAGAGUAAACACGAUAACCAUCUCCUAAUAUUUUAAGACCUGCCAUAACUUGUUUUGCUUGGCCCCAAAGAGAUGAACAAAGAUUAAAAGAUUGGAUUACUGAGAUUGCCUAUGAAGCUAUGAAUUUUCAUAAAAAAGGGGUGGCAGAAUUUGUUCUUUUUGGUUUCAGGAGCAACAGAGGAGACUUUUCUUCCCUGAUGCACUUUAAGAAGGAAAUACAGCAUAAAGUUAUGUUCAUCUUCAAUAAAUGAAAUAGCACUACCAUUUGCCACAGAAAAAAGAGUAAGCAUACACUCAAAUAAUAAAAAAUGCAACCCAGUAACAUAUUGUUUGGUUUCAUGACAGUGUUAAUUGUCUUUAACAUAUUCAUAUAUGAGUUUUCUCUUUUAGAUUUCAGAUUCUGAAAGUGAGGAUUUUGCCUUAAAAACGUUAAAUCAGUAUUGCACCUGGCAGGGGUAACUAGGUGGUAUAGUAGAUAGAGUGCAAGCCCUGAAGUCAGGAGGAACUGACUUCA